UACGUAGGGUGCGAGCGUUAAUCGGAAUUACUGGGCGUAAAGCGUGCGCAGGCGGUUCGUUAAGUUCGUUGUGAAAGCCCCGGGCUCAACCUGGGAACUGCAAUGGAAACUGGCGGGCUUGAAUGCGGCAGAGGGGGGUGGAAUUCCGCGUGUAGCAGUGAAAUGCGCAGAUAUCAGGAGGAACACCGGUGGCGAAGGCGGGUCUCUGGGCCGAUAUUGACGCUGAGGAGCGAAAGCGUGGGGAGCGAACAGG
rnacentral:rRNA from 1 species